ACCGGCAGCUCAAGUGGUGGCCAUUUUUAUUGGGCCUAAAGCGUUCGUAGCCGGUUUGAUAAGUCUCUGGUGAAAUCUCACGGCUUAACCGUGAGAAUUGCUGGAGAUACUAUUAGACUUGAGGCCGGGAGAGGUUAGCAGUAAUCCCAGGGUUGGGGUGAAAUCCUAUAAUCCUGGGAGGACCACCUGUGGCGAAGGCCGCUAUCUGGAACGGGCCUGACUGUAAGUAAUGAAAGCCAGGGGCGCGAACCU
rnacentral:rRNA from 1 species